CCUACGAGAGGCAGCAGUGAGGAAUAUUGGUCAAUGGGCGCGAGCCUGAACCAGCCAAGUAGCGUGAAGGAUGACUGCCCUACGGGUUGUAAACUUCUUUUAUAAAGGAAUAAAGUGAGGCACGUGUGCCUUUUUGUAUGUACUUUAUGAAUAAGGAGCGGCUAACUCCGUGCCAGCAGCCGCGGUAAUACGGAGGAGCCGAGCGUUAUCCGGAUUUAUUGGGUUUAAAGGGCGCGUAGAUGGGUUGUUAAGUCAGUUGUGAAAGUUUGCGGCUCAACCGUAAAAUUGCAAUUGAUACUGGCAGUCUUGAGUACAGUUGAGGUAGGCGGAAUUCGUGGUGUAGCGGUGAAAUGCUUAGAUAUCACGAAGAACUCCGAUUGCGAAGGCAGCUUACUAAACUGCCACUGACAUUGAUGCUCGAAAGUGUGGGUAUCAAACAGGAUUAGAUACCCUAGUUGUC
rnacentral:rRNA from 1 species